rnacentral:lncRNA from 1 species
GGGCGCUUAUUGUUCUGGGGAGAUGCCUCUUCCAGGAGUGGCUUGGGAGGGUCAGAGCUCCUUCCAUUCAGACCAGUCACCCACUUCUCCAGAAAUCGCGUCCCCUUCUUUGCGCCUCUCGUGCCGACAUUCCCUGCAUCGCUCGUCCCUUUCCUGUAUUGCACUGCCCUGUAAACUGGUGAAUAACUGCGUGGGUUCAAAAGCCAUGCUGCCUCUUUUGAUUCCUGGCUCCCCCACAUGACCUGUGAUAACCUUGGACCAACUGUUUGAGGCCGUUUGAGCCUCAGUUUCCCCAUCUGCAAGAUGGGUGCAAGACUAGCACCUCUUCCCAAUCCCGUGAGGAUUCAGGGAGGUGAUGCCAGCAUGAUGGCGGGAACUUGGCGAACCUUUGCACAGAGGUCCGAUCUCUUGCCAUUGCUGUGUCCUGGGCUGACUGCGGGGACAGCAGAGUUCUUAAAAAAUAAUCGCUUUCACAAACGCCAAUAUUUCAGUUGUGCCUCUCCGGUAUAGACAUCUGCUUAUGAAGAGCUAGCAAUACUGGAGGUUCUAGGUAAGACCUGGCUCACGACAGAGGAGAGUGACAGACCAAGGAGGGACUGACACAGAGAGAAACCAGAGCCACAAUUGGGCAGCUCUGUAGGAGAAGCCAUCCCGGACUGGGGAUGCUGGAGCUGGAAGGAAUGGGGAAGAGAUUUCAUGGAGGAAAUUUACCUGCCUUGGCUGCUAGUGGGUGAUAAGCACCAAGGACUGCCGGGGUUCUGAGGAUGUGAAGGUGUAGGGAAGGAAUGACGGAGCCACGACCUCAUCCCGGGGGGAGUCCAUUCGGGGAGAUGCACGUCUCCCUGGAAAAGCUUAGGGCACAGGUGUCCCGAGGAGCUCCAAGUGGGUGGGCUGGGAGGGGAACCCUCUGCGGUCAAAGGUGUGGGAGCCUAGGUGCCUAGACUAGGCUGGGAGGACUGAAUGAAGAGAGCCUCUCAGAGGCAUUCAGAAAACUCUUGCUCUGCGAGCUCAGGUUUCUGUAAGAGUGCAACCCUAAGAACACCUUGCCAGGCACGAGUAACACCUGGGGAGUUAUUAAAACAUUGAUUCCUGGGCUCUGGCCCCGGGAGGUUCUGACUUAGAAGAGGCCCAUGAAUUUGCAUUUCUGACAGACUUCUGGGUGAUGCUGAGCAGCCAGUCCUGAGGACCACACCGUGAGUGGUGCUGCCCUGGACCACACCCAGGCCCUGUCAGCCCCCUGGAUGCUCCUGCUGCGCCCACACCUGCUGCCAGAGGGAUGCCGUGUGGGGCCCGGGCCUCACCUGGACCAGCCGCCGCAGCCUCUCCUGCUGGUCCCACUGGUUAUCUUUGCCAGUCACCAGUGGGGAUUUUUUUGCUGGUGAUGUUCAGACCUUUCACCUCUUCGGGACCCCUCACCCCAAGCCCGUCCAUUGUGGGUGAGACCUGCGGCCAGAGGUCGCGUGAACACACAUGUGGCCUCCUGACAGUUUAUGGCACGGGUGCUGUCUGGGUCUAGCUCCACGUGCCAAGCGCAGGAGAUGAGACAGACCGUGUGCCUUGCUCUCUGCUCUUUCCAAGCUGGUCUAAAAAGGCUCGCAAGCUAUUCCAUAAAGCAUUGCAUCAGGGAACCUUGAGUCAUGCUGCUCUUGGUCAUCCCUUUCAGGUAUUUGCUGUCCUGAUUAAAAUGUGCAGAGGCCUCAUGAGGGAGCUGUCUCCAGACUCUGAGUCAGGGAAUCCAGUUAAUCGAGUUUGUUAGCCUUGAUUGUAAAGUAGGAGUUAAAGGGCCCAGAAUAAGAGCCUGGCAAGAUUGCUUAUGACACAGUGCAUAGAUUUUAGUGCUUGUGUGUGGGGGAUACCCAUUUUGUUUUUAAUAGUGCUAAAAUGUAUGUAGUGUAAUAUUUAUCAUUUUAACCAUUUUAAGUAUAUAAAUCAGUGAUAUCAACUGCAUUUGCAAUUUUGUGUAACCACUAACCAUACCUAAAGCUGUUUUUCUCAUCCUCAAUAUACAUUCUGUACCCAUUAAACAAUAAGCGCUCUCCCCUCCACUCCUUGCAGCCCUGGGUACCUCUGUUCUACUUUCUGCUUCGUGAAUUAGACUCCUGUAUCUCAUGUCAGUGGAAUCAGGCAUAUCUGUCCUCCUGUGUUUUAUGUCACUAAACAGGUUUUCAGGUUCUACCCAUAUGGUAGCAUAUAUCAAAAUCGCUUUCCUUUUCAGGGCUGAAUAGCAUUCCCCUGUGUACAUAUGCCACAUUUUUUUAAUCCGUUCACCGUUGGUGGAUGCUUGGCUCACUUCCCCCUUUGGCUAUUAACUGAAUAAUGCUGCUCUUGACACUAGUGAAUGAAUACCUCUUAGAAUCUCUGACUUCCGUUCUUCUUUUUACAUAUCUGGGCGUCAGGUGCUGGGUCAUGUGGUGCUUGUAGCUCUAACCCUUUGAGAAACUGCCACACUGGAUUCCACAGCGGCUGCACCAUUUUACAUUCCCAGCAGCAGCAUAUUGUCCACAUCCUCCCUAACAUUUGCUGCUGCUGCUGCUGUUGUUGUUGUUGAUAAUAGCCUAUUAGUAGAUGUGAGGUCGCAGACGUGGCUCGGAUCCCGCGUUGCUGUGGCUGUGGUGUAGGCUGGGGGCUAUAACUCCGAUUUGACCCCUAGCCUGGGAACCUCCAUAUGCCAUGAGUGUGGCCCCCAAAAGGCCAAAAAAAAAAACCCCAAACAUUUUGUCUUGGAGGAUCCAACAGUCCUGAUUUAUGUCACUCACUGGAUGUGUCAGCUCUUAGCACAAACCCUGUGGAUUCCUCCUAAAAUGAAAAUAGGCAGCUACACCCAAGUAAGGUGGCCCCCCCCAACCCCCACCCUUCAAACCACCCCCUGGCUCUCGUAUGUUACGUUUAGUGGCUUUGCAGUGCAUGUCUCUCAGCCAGAGACGCUAGUGGCAAAUGGUUCUCUCUCCAGCGCUGAGUUUAUUGGACAGGCGGUGCAUGCAGAAUUCUGUUUUAUAUGGCGAUUUGGCAUUUGUGCAGAAAAGUACUGCAAGAUUCUGAAGCGUGUUCUUGGGGGUAAAAUCAUAAGGCAUCUGCUGGAAACGGCCGUGACAGAGACGUUUCAACAGAAUCGAACAAAUAAAAGUCAGAACUCAAAAUUGAAUACUGCUGCAUUUUUGUCUAAAUCACCGUGAGCAGAUUGAGAUGUGUGCGUGUGUGUCUUGAGGGACAAAGGCACACGUCCUUCUUUGUGUGUUAAUUGUAGGGGACCGACAGAUGGGAGUGACCGCAUCACCACGUGAUGGCAACUCCUCUUUCUUCCAAGAGAUUUCUCUCCCCUUGGUUUCCCAGCCAGGUCUGACCCUGGACGGGGGCGGCUGGUGGCAGAUAGUCUAACAGCGUGUGCCCUGCCGGAACAGUCUGCUGGCACCACUUUUUAAUAAGGGCUGGGCUCUUGCCUAAGAGCCCAGCAACUUCGGUGCCUCCUCUGCUGCGCCUUCCCCGAACACACCUCGCCCUCGCUAAUAAAUUCCGAGGGCUGACAUUGCCGGAGCCGGCUGGUCUUUGCCCUCAAUUUCAUUGAGAUGGGCCAUUGAAAACUCAUUACAAGCUGUUUAGACUCUGACUUUGACUUUUGCUCGGCAGCGAGCGAAAUUAACAGCUCUUGGAGGUAGCAAAAAAGGCACUCAGCC